rnacentral:rRNA from 1 species
UUAAGCCAUGCAUGUCUAAGUAUAAGCAAUUAUACAGCGAAACUGCGAAUGGCUCAUUAUAUAAGUUAUCGUUUAUUUGAUAGUACCUUACUACUUGGAUAACCGUGGUAAUUCUAGAGCUAAUACAUGCUAAAAACCCCGACUUCGGAAGGGGUGUAUUUAUUAGAUUAAAAACCAAUGCCCUCUGGGCUCUCUGGUGAUUCAUGAUAACUUCUCGAAUCGCAUGGCCUUGCGCCGGCGAUGGUUCAUUCAAAUUUCUUCCCUAUCAACUUUCGAUGUUUGGGUAGUGGCCAAACAUGGUUGCAACGGGUAACGGAGGGUUAGGGCUCGACCCCGGAGAAGGAGCCUGAGAAACGGCUACUACAUCCAAGGAAGGCAGCAGGCGCGCAAAUUACCCAAUCCCGACACGGGGAGGUAGUGACAAUAAAUACUGAUACAGGGCUCUUUUGGGUCUUGUAAUUGGAAUGAGUACAAUUUAAAUCCCUUAACGAGGAACAAUUGGAGGGCAAGUCUGGUGCCAGCAGCCGCGGUAAUUCCAGCUCCAAUAGCGUAUAUUAAAGUUGUUGUGGUUAAAAAGCUCGUAGUUGAACCUUGGGCCUGGCUGGCCGGUCCGCCUCACCGCGUGUACUGGUCCGGCCGGGCCUUUCCCUCUGUGGAACCCCAUGCCCUUCACUGGGUGUGGCGGGGAAACAGGACUUUUACUUUGAAAAAAUUAGAGUGCUCCAGGCAGGCCUAUGCUCGAAUACAUUAGCAUGGAAUAAUAGAAUAGGACGUGUGGUUCUAUUUUGUUGGUUUCUAGGACCGCCGUAAUGAUUAAUAGGGACAGUCGGGGGCAUCAGUAUUCAAUUGUCAGAGGUGAAAUUCUUGGAUUUAUUGAAGACUAACUACUGCGAAAGCAUUUGCCAAGGAUGUUUUCAUUAAUCAGGAACGAAAGUUAGGGGAUCGAAGACGAUCAGAUACCGUCGUAGUCUUAACCAUAAACUAUGCCGACUAGGGAUCGGACGAUGUUACUUAUUGACUCGUUCGGCACCUUACGAGAAAUCAAAGUGCUUGGGCUCCA